ACUCAUCUCAUAUGUAUAAACUGUAAUCUAUACUAUUCUACGGUAUCUUAGUCACUUUAAUUCUGUGUAAAUAUUGCAUCACCCAUCUCAUAUGUAUAAACUGUAUUCUAUACUAUUCUACGGUAUCUUAGUCACUUUAAUUCUGUGUAAAUAUUGCAUCACCCAUCUCAUAUGUAUAUACUGUAUUCUAUACUGUGCCACUGUAUCUUAGUCCAAUGCUGCUCUGACAUAUGUAUAUAUUCUUAAUCCAUUCCUUACUUAGAUUUACGUGUAUUUUGGGGUAAAUGUUGUGAAACUGUUAGAUAUUACUUGUUAGAUAUUACUGCACUGUCGGAGUUAGAAGCACAAGCAUUUCACUACACCCGCAAUAACAUCUGCUAAACACGUGUAUGUGACCAAUACAUUGGAUUUGAAUCAUUUCACAGGUCAUUUCUAACUACUAACUAUACUAAUAACUCACCCCAGGUGUACUCCUCUAACUACUAACUAUACUAGUAACUCACCCCAGGCGUACUCCUCUAACUACUAACUACACUAGUAACUCACCCCAGGUGUACUCCUCUAACUACUAACUAUACUAGUAACCCACCCCAGGUGUACUCCUCUAACUACUAACUAUACUAGUAACUCACCCUAGGUGUACUCCUUUAACAACUAACUAUACUAGUAACUCACCCCAGGUUUACUCCUCUAACUACCUACUAACUAUACUAGUAACUCACCCCAGGUGUACUCCUAACUACUAACUAUACUAGUAACUCACCCCAGGUGUACUAAUCUAACUACUAACUAUACUAGAAACUCACCCCAGGUGUACACAUCUAACUGCUAAAAACCUGUUUUUGCGUUGUCAUUAUGGGGUAUUGUGUGUAGAUUGAUGAGGGAAAAAACAAUUUAAUCUGUUUUAGAAUAGGGCUGUAAUGUAACAAAAUGUGUAAAAAGUUAAGGGGUCUGAAUACUUUCCACGUACACUGUAUGUCUGAGAAAAAAAACAUGUUUCAUCCCAUAUGAUCUAGUCCACAAUAAACACUUCAACCCAUAUGAUCUAGUACACAAUAAACACUUCAACCCAUAUGAUCUAGUUCACAAUAAACACUUCAACCCAUAUGAUCUAGUACACAAUAAACACUUCAACCCAUAUGAUGUAGUCCACAAUAAACACUUCAACCCAUAUGAUCUAGUCCACAAUAAACACUUCAACCCAUAUAAUCUAGUACACAAUAAACACUUCAACCCAUAUGAUCUAGUACACAAUAAACACUUCAACCCAUACGAUCUAGUCCACAAUAAACACUUCAACCCAUAUGAUCUAGUCCACAAUAAACACUUCAAC
rnacentral:lncRNA from 1 species